rnacentral:misc_RNA from 1 species
AUGAAGACGUAGCGAAAUGCGAUACUUGGUGUGAAUUGCAGAAUCCCGUGAACCAUCGAGUCUUUGAACGCAAGUUGCGCCCGAAGCCAUCAGGUUGAGGGCACGUCUGCCUGGGCGUCACAUAUCGUUGCCCAAUGCCUAUUGCAGUGCAAUAGGAAUUUCUAGGGCGAAUGAUGGCUUCCCGUGAGCGUUGUUGCCUCGCGGUUGGUUGAAAAUCGAGUCCUUGGUAGGGUGUGCCAUGGUAGAUGGUGGUCGAGUUAGAACGAUACCGAUCAUGUGCAUGCUCCCCAAAAUAUGGCCUCUAUGACCCACACGCGUCUUUUGACGCUCAUGACGAGACCUCAGGUCAGGCGGGGCUACCCGCUGAAUUUAAGCAUAUCAAUAAGCGGAGGA